rnacentral:rRNA from 1 species
GUAGGUGGCAAGCGUUGUCCGGGAAUUAUUGGGGCGUAAAGCGCGCGCAGGCGGUUCUUUAAGUCUGAUGUGAAAGCCCACGGGCUCAACCGUGGGAGGGUCAUUGGAAACUGGAGAACUUGAGUACAGAAGAGGAAAGCGGAAUUCCACGUGUAGCGGUGAAAUGCAUAGAGAUGUGGAGGAACACCAGUGGCGAAGGCGGCUUUCUGGUCUGUAACUGACGCUGAGGCGCGAAAGCGUGGGGAGCAAACAGGAUUAGAUACCCUGGUAGUCCACGCCGUAAACGAUGAGUGCUAAGUGUUAGGGGGUUUCCGCCCCUUAGUGCUGCAGCUAACGCAUUAAGCACUCCGCCUGGGGAGUACGGCCGCAAAGGCUGA